GGUUGAACGGAUAACUACCGUUUUCAAGAGUACUUGGCUUCUGGGGUGGGAAGCU
rnacentral:ncRNA from 23 species